rnacentral:lncRNA from 1 species
CAAUGAUUUAUUCGGGAUAACAAUCGAACAUUUACUUAACGAAAACGACAGGUUUGUUGUUCCACCCAACCGUUUAAAAGUAGGAUCUUGGCCCUCGGUGCAGACCCAGUGACCAAUUUGGCUUGUCCUUGAAUCAAAGGCCAAGGGUGUGGGCUGUUGAUUCUGCGAUGCAGGCUUCUCUGGCAAUUCCUUUCCACCAAAGAGAAGAAAGACGUGAUGAAGCAUAUCUUUUUUCAGGUCAGAUGACUUGGCAAGAAGAGUGCUUGGCCUCAAGUUGUUUUUGUGAAGCACAUCUGGAGAGUGAUCAGGAAGUGCUACCAAGCAACAAAACUGAAUUCUCUUUAAAGUUAUUUGCUAUUUUGGAGUCAAAUAAUAAUAAAACUUUAUAUUGAUAUGGCUCCUGUUUCUCAAAGAACUCGAUGCAUUUUACAACAUGGAACUCAUCCAUGCAACAUCCUGUUAGGGAGGACAGUUGGCAAGGUC